UUAUGUGCUGCAGAGAGGACAGAGAACAGAGGAGAGUUAAACAUGAUGGACUGCAGGACAGGACUGCUGCUUUUAACUCUCUGCUUUGCAGGUGUUGAUGGUCAGACUCUGACAGAAUCUGAACCAGUGGUUAAAAGGCCUGGAGAAUCACACAGAUUGACCUGCACAACAUCCGGAAUCACAUUCAGGAGCUACGAUAUGCACUGGGUCAGACAGGCUCCUGGAAAAGGACUGGAGUGGAUCGCCUGGGUUGAUGAUGGUAGUGGGACCUCAAAAUCCUACUCUCAGUCAGUUCAAGGCCGUUUUACCAUCUCCAGAGACAACAGCAGAGAGCAGGUGUAUCUGCAGAUGAACAGUCUGAAGAUGGAAGAUUCUGCUGUUUAUUAUUGUGCUGCAGAGCCACAGUGACUGGAGUUGGUGGAGCAGCUGUACA